rnacentral:rRNA from 1 species
ACGUACACUCCUACGGGAGGCAGCAGUAGGGAAUCUUCGGCAAUGGGGGCAACCCUGACCGAGCAACGCCGCGUGAGUGAAGAAGGUUUUCGGAUCGUAAAGCUCUGUUGUAAGUCAAGAACGAGUGUGAGAGUGGAAAGUUCACACUGUGACGGUAGCUUACCAGAAAGGGACGGCUAACUACGUGCCAGCAGCCGCGGUAAUACGUAGGUCCCGAGCGUUGUCCGGAUUUAUUGGGCGUAAAGCGAGCGCAGGCGGUUUGAUAAGUCUGAAGUUAAAGGCUGUGGCUCAACCAUAGUUCGCUUUGGAAACUGUCAAACUUGAGUGCAGAAGGGGAGAGUGGAAUUCCAUGUGUAGCGGUGAAAUGCGUAGAUAUAUGGAGGAACACCGGUGGCGAAAGCGGCUCUCUGGUCUGUAACUGACGCUGAGGCUCGAAAGCGUGGGGAGCGAACAGGAUUAGAAACCCCAGUAGUCCCAUGAU